rnacentral:rRNA from 1 species
ACGGGGGGAGCAAACGUUGUUCGGAAUCACUGGGCGUAAAGGGCGCGUAGGCGGCUAGGUAAGUGGAGUGUUAAAUCUCCCGGCUCAACCGGGAACCUGCACUUCAUACUGGCAGGCUUGAAUCCGGGAGAGGGAUGCGGAAUUCCAGGUGUAGCGGUGAAAUGCGUAGAUAUCUGGAGGAACACCGGUGGCGAAGGCGGCAUCCUGGACCGGUAUUGACGCUGAGGCGCGAAAGCCAGGGGAGCAAACGGGA